GCACAGCCCAGCUGUCAAGAGAACGGGUGUGGACAAGGGGCGGAGCAAAGCUGUGAGACCGACGCGGCGCGCAGCGCAGGGCAAAAAGUGAUUAACAUGAGACCUGCAGCUUAAUAUGAACCCCAUGAGAGCAGGGACCUCAUGCUGUUCAUGGCUACAUCUCCAGCAUCUACAACAGGGCCUGAGAUACAGAAGGAGGUAUCUUGGCAUAACUCCGAUCACUGAACCCCUAAGAACGUUCCUAAAGAGGCAGCUCCCUGAAUCUCCACCAUCCUACCAAGACCUGCAGUGCACUGGCACCUUUGGCUUGCCCUGCCCAAUCAGCGUGAUGUCAUCCACGUAACGGGUCACUGUGGUGUUCCACAGGGUGUCCAGACUGUCUGGAUUAAGACAGAGGCUGGAAAAGUUCACAGUGCCCUGGACAAGACAAUAAAUUAGCAUUGUUGUCCAUUC